rnacentral:rRNA from 1 species
ACUCCUACGGGAGGCAGCAGUAGGGAAUCUUCGGCAAUGGACGAAAGUCUGACCGAGCAACGCCGCGUGAGUGAAGAAGGUUUUCGGAUCGUAAAACUCUGUUGUUAGAGAAGAACAAGGAUGAGAGUAACUGUUCAUCCCUUGACGGUAUCUAACCAGAAAGCCACGC